AGGACGAACGCUGGCGGCGUGCUUAACACAUGCAAGUCGAACGGAAAGGCCCUUCGGGGUACUCGAGUGGCGAACGGGUGAGUAACACGUGGGUGAUCUGCCCUGCACUUCGGGAUAAGCUUGGGAAACUGGGUCUAAUACCGGAUAUGACCAUGGGAUGCAUGUCUUGUGGUGGAAAGCUUUUGCGGUGUGGGAUGGGCCCGCGGCCUAUCAGCUUGUUGGUGGGGUGAUGGCCUACCAAGGCGACGACGGGUAGCCGGCCUGAGAGGGUGUCCGGCCACACUGGGACUGAGAUACGGCCCAGACUCCUACGGGAGGCAGCAGUGGGGAAUAUUGCACAAUGGGCGCAAGCCUGAUGCAGCGACGCCGCGUGGGGGAUGACGGCCUUCGGGUUGUAACCCCUUUCAGUAGGACGAAGCGCAAGUGACGGUACCUACAGAAGAAGGACCGGCCAACUACGCGCCAGCAGCCGCGGUAA
rnacentral:rRNA from 1 species